UACGGAGGGUGCAAGCGUUGUCCGGAUUUAUUGGGGUUUAAAGGGUGCGUAGGCGGUCUUUUAAGUCAGCGGUGAAAUCCUCCAGCUUAACUGGAGAACUGCCAUUGAUACUGGAAGACUUGAGUACAGACGAGGUAGGCGGAAUUGACAGUGUAGCGGUGAAAUGCAUAGAUAUUGUCAAGAACACCGAUUGCGAAGGCAGCUACUAGACUGUAACUGACGCUGAGGCACGAAAGUGUGGGGAUCAAACAGG
rnacentral:rRNA from 1 species